CUAGAGAGUAUGAUAUAUUUGCUACUGUUUGUUGUUUAAAACAAGAUAUACAUUUAUUCACAGUACUUGUAACAAGACUUUAAACGAAUAAUCCAGUACUUCUGUCUGACGUAAUUUAAAGGUAAGUUGCAAGUCACCAUGCAAAGAUUUAAUAUGUGCAUCAGAAACAAUUAGUUUACAUAAAUGACAUUUGUUACUUAAAAUAAUAUGAGACUAUAGAUAGUUCGAAACCUCUGCAUUCACUAGUCUGCCACCCACUCUUAGUAUCUUUUGUUCAUCAAGAAACGGAUUAAGUGUAUAUAAAACUUACUUCUUUUGUGAAUUUGCUUGUUGUGAGUUAAAGUUUCAAUCUCAUCUUUAAAAUAGCUUGUGACCAACGAGUACAUACAAGCAAAACAAUUUUUAUUUCAGAAGCAGUUAAAUAACAAUUACAAUCCCUUCUAAUUGAAUUAAUUUUGUUUUUACAGCAUUGAAUAAAUGGUUUAAAUAUUUGUUUAUGUAGUCAGUAAUAUCAUUAUUUUCAGUGAUACAAAUGUGAACUUUAACUUUUGUUUUAACUUCUAAGUCUGUUUCAGGAAUAUCUAUAUCAUUAUUUACAAUAUCAUCGGGUUGACUUAGAAAAUCAGUGCCGUUCGACCACAGUUUUGACUGUCUCAAAUCAUUCGGACUUAAACCUCGAGAGACUAAAUCUACAGGACUGUUAAAAGGUGUCAAUAUGACGCCAUUGACUACUAUUUGUGAAAGUUAAAAUUUUUGCUGUUCGAUUAGCAACAAAUGUUGUCCAAGUACCAGGUGUUUUGCGUAACCACGUUAAAACUAUAGUAGAAUCAGUCCAAGUGAACACACAAUUAUUUUGUAUUCACAAAACAGUUGGCUGCUCAACAUCUUGGCUAGUAUAAAUAGCACCACAAGUCGUGGCAAUGUAACUUGUUUUACUGAAGCUACACGUGUUUUCGCGAAAACUAAAUGAACAUUAACAUCUUUGGUAUUCCAAACUCUGAUGUAGACAACAGCAGCAUAAGCAGCACAAGAUGCAUCGCUGAAGCCAUGUAAUUCUAAUCUACUAGUAGUAUUUGAAAUGCUGAGCCAUCUUGGAAAGGGAAUGAUUUGCAUGUGAGAAAACUUAUCUAGGUAAGUAAACCAUUCAGUUUUUAAUUCUAGUUGUAGCUCCUCGUCCCAAUCCAAUCCAGCUAGCCAUAAUUUCUGCAUGAAUAGUUUAAGAACAAUUAUAGAAGGUGCUAAACAAUCAAGAGGAUCAAAGAACUUAGUUAUCACAGAAAGAACAGUUCGUUUAGUGACAUUGUGAGAUAUAAAUUGUAAACUUAGUGUUAGUUCAAAGUUGUCAGUUUGUGACUUCCAUUUAAUACCUAAAGCUUUAAUAGCUUUUUCUACUUAAUAGUGACUGAACUUAAAGAAUCUCUUUUAUCGUUCGAAAUUUGAUUCAAUACUAGUUUACUAUUAGACGACCAUUUAUGCAAAGGAAAGCCACCUCGAGCUAAUAAUUCAGUUAACCGAUUUUGAAGAAAUAUUGCAUUUUCCUCUGUUGACGUACCUGUUAACAAAUCGUCCAUAUAGAAGUCUUCCUUUACAAUUUCAAAUUCUUUAGAAAACUCACCACAUUCAUCUUCAGCAAGUUGGUGCAGUGUACGGAUGGCUAAGAAAGGAACACAAGACCAAACGUAGGUUACUGUAAGUAAUCUGUCCUCUUCAUUAGGAACAUUGAGAGAUUCACGCCAUACGACUCUUUGAAGAUCUAUAUAUUUUUUAGAUACAAGUAUCUGUCGAUGUAUCGACUUCUGUAUAUCUACAAAUAAACAUAUUUUGUGUUGUUUCCAUCUUGUAAUGAAGUAUCGAAUAUUUUGAAGAAGAUGAGGACCGAUAAACAAUUCAUCGUUUAUUGAUUUUUCAUUUGCAGGUUCAACACUACCAUCGAAGACUACGCGCAACUUUGUACUCAAGCUCAACGGCCUAAGGACAGCAUGGUGAGGUAAGUAGUAUAUAUUUUUAUUAGUAUUAAGUUCAUUUUCAGGAAUCAUCUCCAUAUGUUCGUGUGACAGGUAUUCAUCCAUAAAGUUACUAUAUUGACUUCUAAAUUCAGGUUUGUGUAAAAAUCUCUUCUCCAUCUGUUGCAGACGAUUAAUAGCCAAGGUUUGUGAAUUACCAAGACUUGUGGAAAGAAACUCUUUAAAUGGCAAGCAAUCUAUGUAUCGACCAUCAUCGUUACGUGUGUAAGUAUCCUUAUAGUGUUUCUCGCAUUGUACUUCUGAUGUAGACAUAGGCUUUUUGUGAGGAACGUGCUCUUCGAUCUCCCAAAACUGCCUAAGUAACUGAUUCACCUCCAAUUUAGUAUGAGCUACAGUCACAUUGUGUACUUGUGUAUCAGUUUGUGAAACGCUUCCAGACAGCAACCAACCCAGGCGAGAGUUAAGAGCAACGAGAGUGUUGUGUUUGUGCAUUCCAUCGAGAAUUAUGUGAGCAUGCACGUCGGCACCCAAUACAACAUCUAUAGGACUCGGCUUGUGAAAAUCAGGAUCAGCUAGAUCUAAUUGCAUUGAUGAAGGCCAAGUACCUUGUGGAAAUUCUCGAGAUGGUAGUAUUGAAGUCAGUUUUCUAAGUACAUAAGCGUUAACUUCAAUACGUGAAAGUGAUGGGUUUUUACAAUGAAUUGUGAGUGUUACUAUAGACUUAGUAGUAACUUCUUGUGAGUUGGAUAUUCCAGUGAUUUUACCAACUACAGGUGUGCGAUCAAGAUUCAACAGUUGUACAGCUGCUUCAGUAACAAAAGAAGCCUGAGAGCCCUGGUCUACAAGUGCCCUGAGAACGUAAGUAGAGCCAUUCUUUGCCUUUACUUUAAUUUGAGCUGUAGGUAAAAUAACUUGUUUAUUAUUUGUUUCAGGUUUCGUGUUAGCAGCAUGACAAGACGUAGAGGGACUCUGUACUGACUCAUUUCUCUCAGUUGUAAUCUCUGGUUUGUUAAGAGUUGUUAAAUGCAGCAAAGUGUGAUGACGUCGUCCACAUUUCUUACAGGUUGUGCUUUGCCGACAUUUAUUCACAGAGUGACCCUUAAUCAAACAGUUGAAGCAGAUGUUGUUCGUUUUUAUAAAAUGUUGACGUUCUGAUACGCUUUUUCCAUGCAUCGAGAUAAUUAGCUUCGGUAAGUGUGAAAUUCUUUAAUAAUUCUGCUGCUUCCCCAGUUAAACUAGACUUAAGGUAAUGAUGCUUUUCAAUUUUAGACAAACUGUUAUUAUUAUGUAUCAAUGAAAUAUAUAAAUCUCGGUAGCUAAUCCAAUCAUUAUAAUCACCAGAAAAUACUGGAAGGGGUAUCGGAGGAAGAUGUGGUCUCGAGUGUGAAGAUGAUGCGAUGGUGAUGGUGUUAUUAUCAUCAGUUUGAAUUGAUUUUGUUUCAUGUUCAUAUAACCAAUCUCUUAUCCAGGUCUUGAGAUCUAAGUAAGCCUCUUCAGUAGAAUUAUAAUUUUCCUCUAGAUCGAUAUUACAUGAUUUUAAAUCCGACUCUGAAUAUGUAGUUGUAAUGUACUCAUAUUGUUUAUAAUAUGAUGACCAGUACUCACAUAGCAUCUCUAAACGUGCAUCCAAAUAUCCUCUUGUAAUCUUAGCUCGAGCGCACUUCUUCGUGUUAGUUAGUAAUUUCACAAUUUUAUUUGAAUUGUCCAACAACAUUGUAAUACGUGAUCUAAUAUCUUCUGUCAUUGUGAUAUGCAAACAACAAAGUCCGAUAUAUAUAUGUGAAAAAAGUAUUGUACACUGAAGUUGUGAAUAUUUAUGCGUUUAGUACUGCACUAUAUUUAUUUAUUUAAUUAUGCGGCUAUCGAAGGACCAAAUGAACAAAAAUAAAGUCGAAUCUUGAUCUUGAA